ACGGGAGGCAGCAGUGGGGAAUAUUGGGCAAUGGGCGAAAGCCUGAUCCAGCGACGCCGCGUGAGUGAAGAAGUAUUUCGGUAUGUAAAGCUCUAUCAGCAGGGAAGAUAAUGACGGUACCUGACUAAGAAGCAACGGCUAACUACGUGCCAGCAGCCGCGGUAAUACGUAGGUUGCAAGCGUUGUCCGGAUUUACUGGGUGUAAAGGGCGUGUAGGCGGAGAGGCAAGUCAGAUGUGAAAUCCUGGGGCUCAACCCCAGAACUGCAUUUGAAACUGUCUCCCUUGAGUAUCGGAGAGGCAAGCGGAAUUCCUAGUGUAGCGGUGAAAUGCGUAGAUAUUAGGAGGAACACCAGUGGCGAAGGCGGCUUGCUGGACGACAACUGACGCUGAGGCGCGAAAGCGUGGGGAGCAAACAGGAUUAGAUACCCUGGUA
rnacentral:rRNA from 1 species